rnacentral:rRNA from 1 species
CCUACGGGAGGCAGCAGUGAGGAAUAUUGGUCAAUGGCCGUGAGGCUGAACCAGCCAAGUCGCGUGAGGGAAGACUGUCCUAUGGAUUGUAAACCUCUUUUAUCCGGGGACAAAGCCGGCCACGUGUGCCCGUUUGCAGGUAACGCACGAAUAAGGACCGGCUAACUCCGUGCCAGCCGCCGCGGUAAUACGGAGGAUUCGGGGGUUAUCCGGAUUUAUUGGGUUUAACGGGUGCGUAGGCCGGCUUUUAAGUGAGCGGUAAAAGUUUGGGGCUCAAGCUGGGCGUGCCGGGGAACCUGGAGACGUUGAGUGGGCGAGAGGUAUGCGGAAGGCGUGGUGUAGCGGUGAAAUGCUUAGAUAUCACGAAGAACCCCGAUUGCGAAGGCAGCAUACCGGCGCCGGACUGACGCUGAGGCACGAAAGCGUGGGUAUCGAACAGGAUUAGAUACCCUAGUAGUC